rnacentral:rRNA from 1 species
AUGAUUUGUUUUUGCAAAUUAGCCCCUACAUUUUGUAAAAAUUCCAGCCGCACUCCUUUGUUCACCUUAUCCGGUGGCAGAGGGGAGACAGCUGCGGCUCUGCUCGUCGGCGACCUCGUCGGCGCAGAAGGUGUCCGCCCCUCUCCUCCGCCUCCGGCCUCCGCGCCGCCCCCUAGCUCGAGGUGGGUGGAGCAGAUCGGCGCGCAUGACCUCCACCAUGGCUCCGUCAACACGCUCCACUGCCUGCUCGUCGGCGCCGGCCUCCGCCUGCCUCCGCACAUGGACGCCGUCGAGUUCGCGGCAAGGAGCCUUGGCGCCAUUCCAGAGCUAUCUUCCCUCUUCCUCUUGUGCAGCAUAGUCCCACCUCGCCCUCUUCCAUUAAAUCCUCCCAAUUUAAAUCCAUUUUUAUAUUUUCUCCGUAUCAAGUUGCCGUAG